rnacentral:lncRNA from 1 species
UCGGGGCAGCGGGAUCCAGCGGCAGGGGAAAGAGGAGGAUCGAAGGUGGGGGGAAGAGGGGGCAGCGGCAGGAUGAGCAAAAAUGAAGAGUGGAGAAUCGAUGGGAUAUUUUUAAGGUUAGUAUUAGCGACGGUAAAUUUACCGUCUCUAAUAGCCAUCGGUAAAAAUUAUUUUUCUUGUAGUGCUUGUCGGAUCCACCGCCCUCUUUGUCAAAUCUGCUCUCCCCCUGUCGGAUCCGCCAUCCCUACACUGGAUCAUCGUUGCCAUCCCCGCACC